CGCGGCCUAUCAGCUUGUUGGUGGGGUAAUGGCCUACCAAGGCGACGACGGGUAGCCGGCCUGAGAGGGCGACCGGCCACACUGGGACUGAGACACGGCCCAGACUCCUACGGGAGGCAGCAGUGGGGAAUAUUGCACAAUGGGCGAAAGCCUGAUGCAGCGACGCCGCGUGAGGGAUGAAGGCCUUCGGGUCGUAAACCUCUUUCAGCAGGGAAGAAGCGCAAGUGACGGUACCUGCAGAAGAAGCACCGGCUAACUACGUGCCAGCAGCCGCGGUAAUACGUAGGGUGCGAGCGUUGUCCGGAAUUAUUGGGCGUAAAGAGCUCGUAGGCGGCUUGUCACGUCGGAUGUGAAAGCCCGGGGCUUAACCCCGGGUCUGCAUUCGAUACGAGCAGGCUAGAGUGUGGUAGGGGAGAUCGGAAUUCCUGGUGUAGCGGUGAAAUGCGCAGAUAUCAGGGGGAACACCGGUGGCGAAGGCGGAUCUCUGGGCCAUUACUGACGCUGAGGAGCGAAAGCGUGGGGAGCGAACAGGAUUAGAUACCCUGGUAGUCCACGCCGUAAACGGUGGGAACCAGGUGUUGGCGACAUUCCACGUCGUCGGUGCCGCAGCUAACGCAUUAAGUUCCCCGCCUGGGGA
rnacentral:rRNA from 1 species